rnacentral:rRNA from 1 species
UACGUAGGGUGCGAGCGUUAAUCGGAAUUACUGGGCGUAAAGCGUGCGCAGGCGGUUGUGCAAGACAGAUGUGAAAUCCCCGGGCUUAACCUGGGAACUGCAUUUGUGACUGCACGGCUAGAGUGCGGCAGAGGGGAGUGGAAUUCCGCGUGUAGCAGUGAAAUGCGUAGAUAUGCGGAGGAACACCGAUGGCGAAGGCAGCUCCCUGGGCCUGCACUGACGCUCAUGCACGAAAAGCGUGGGGGAGCAAAACAGGAUUAGAUACCCGCGUAGUCC